UACGAAGGGGGCUAGCGUUGCUCGGAAUUACUGGGCGUAAAGGGAGCGUAGGCGGGUUAUCAAGUUGGGGGUGAAAGCCCGGGGCUCAACCUCGGAAUUGCCUUCAAAACUGAUAACCUGGAGUAUGGAAGAGGUAAGUGGAACUCCGAGUGUAGAGGUGAAAUUCGUAGAUAUUCGCAAGAACACCAGUGGCGAAGGCGGCUCACUGGCCCGAUACUGACGCUGAGGCACGAAAGCGUGGGGAGCAAACAGG
rnacentral:rRNA from 1 species